rnacentral:rRNA from 1 species
UACGUAGGGGCGAGCGUUGUCCGGAUUUAUUGGGCGUAAAGCGAGCGCAGGCGGUUCCUUAAGUCUGAUGUGAAAGCCCACGGCUCAACCGUGGAAGGUCAUUGGAAACUGGGUCACUUGAAUAUAGAAGAGGAAAGUGGAAUUCCAUGUGUAGCGGUGAAAUGCGUAGAUAUAUGGAGGAACACCAGUGGCGAAGGCGACUUUCUGGUCUAUUAUUGACGCUGAGGCUCGAAAGCAUGGGUAGCAAACAGGAUUAGAUACCCU